rnacentral:lncRNA from 1 species
CUCCUCUCUCUCUCUGUCUCUCUCUCCUGUGAUCUAGUGCCUCAGACAACAUUGUGGAAUGCACAAGGAGAAUAUAAUCCACAUCCCAUUCAGGUAGUGAUCAGAUUGUCAUGCCAGACUAGUGGGAGUCAGUAUGCGACCCAAAUUGCACCCUAUUCCCUACAUAGUGCACUACGUUUGACCAGACCCCAAUGGGCCCAGUAACACAAACACUGUCAGCUCAUCUGGCCCUGUAACGCAAUCACUGUCAGCUCAUCUGGUCCCUGUAACGCAGUCACUGUCAGCUCAUCUGGGCCCUGUAACGCAAUCACUGUCAGCUCAUCUGGGCCCUGUAACGCAAUCACUGUCAGCUCAUCUGGGCCCUGUAACGCAAACACUGUCAGCUCAUCUGGGCCCUGUAACGCAAUCACUGUCAGCUCAUCUGGGCCCUGUAACGCAAACACUGUCAGCUCAUCUGGGCCCUGUAACGCAAUCACUGUCAGCUCAUCUGGGCCCUGUAACGCAGUCACUGUCAGCUCAUCUGGGCCCUGUAACGCAAACACUGUCAGCUCAUCUGGGCCCUGUAACGCAGUCACUGUCAGCUCAUCUGGGCCCUGUACCGCAGUCACUGUCAGCUCAUCUGGGCCCUGUAACGCAAACACUGUCAGCUCAUCUGGGCCCUGUAACGCAAUCACUGUCAGCUCAUCUGGGCCCUGUAACGCAAUCACUGUCAGCUCAUCUGGGCCCAGGUAGAGAUGAGUAAAUACAACUUGUGGAGUGAGGGACUGAAAUAAUGUGUUGCUCUGUAGUCAAUGUAAUUAGAUGUUUAUCUGGAGUUAAUUUAAUUAGAUGUUUAUCUCAAGUGAAUUUAUACCUGAAUCAUCUACAGGGAGAGAGGGAGGAGGGGACAGGUGGAGAGAGAGAUGGAUGGAUGAGCAGGGAGAGAGGGAUAGAGAUAGGGAUGGUUGGAGGUGGAGAGAGGGAAGUAGAGAGACUGAUGGAGGGAGGGGUGGAGGGGUGUAUGAGCAGGGAGAGCCGGGUAGAGAUAGGGAUGGAUAGAGGUGGAGAGAGGGAGGUAGAGAGACUGAUGGAGGGAGGGGUGUAUAGAUGUAUGAGCAGGGAGAGCCGGGUAGAGAUAGGGAUGGAUGGAGGUGGAGAGAGGGGGGUAGAGAGACUGACGGAGGGAGGGGUGUAUAGAUGUAUGAGCAGGGAGAGCCGGGUAGAGAUAGGGAUGGAUGGAGGUGGAGAGAGGGGGGUAGAGAGACUGACGGAGGGAGGGGUGUAUAGAUGUAUGAGCAGGGAGAGCCGGGUAGAGAUAGGGAUGGAUGGAGGUGGAGAGAGGGGGGUAGAGAGACUGACGGAGGGAGGGGUGUAUAGAUGUAUGAGCAGGGAGAGCCGGGUAGAGAUAGGGAUGGAUGGAGGUGGAGAGAGGGGGGUAGAGAGACUGACGGAGGGAGGGGUGUAUUCUCCUGUGUGUGUUUGGCCCCCUACCUCUUCCUUGGUGACCUAGUGAGUUAUGGUUUUCUGGGCAGGACCACUGGGGCUUUUGCUAUGGGCCAUCUUUAACUACCUGCUCUGUCAUAGUAUGGAGGCCAGGUACUGUAAGUGUUCAUGUUUAUGGGAUGUGAUGGAGGCCAGGUACUGUAAGUGUUCAUGUUUAUGGGAUGUGAUGGAGGCCAGGUACUGUAAGUGUUCAUGUUUAUGGGAUGUGAUGGAG